rnacentral:rRNA from 1 species
UAGCGGCGGACGGGUGAGUAACGCGUGAGCAACCUGUCCUUCACAGGGGGAUAACACAGCGAAAGUUGUACUAAUACCGCAUAAGACCACACCGGGACAUCCCCGGAGGGGUCAAAAGGGAGCAAUCCGGUGAAGGGUGGGCUCGCGUCCGAUUAGAUAGUUGGUGAGGUAACGGCCCACCAAGUCGACGAUCGGUAGCCGACCUGAGAGGGUGAUCGGCCACAUUGGGACUGAGACACGGCCCAAACUCCUACGGGAGGCAGCAGUGGGGAAUAUUGGGCAAAAUGGGGGAAACCCUGACCCAGCAACGCCGCGUGAGGGAAGAAGGUUUUCGGAUCGUAAACCUCUGUCCUUGGUGAAGAGGGAGAGACGGUAGCCAAGGAGGAAGCCCCGGCUAACUACGUGCCAGCCGCGGC